UACGAAGGGGGCUAGCGUUGCUCGGAAUCACUGGGCGUAAAGCGCACGUAGGCGGAUCGCUAAGUCAGGGGUGAAAUCCUGGAGCUCAACUCCAGAACUGCCUUUGAUACUGGCAAUCUCGAGUCCGGGAGAGGUGAGUGGAACUGCGAGUGUAGAGGUGAAAUUCGUAGAUAUUCGCAAGAACACCAGUGGCGAAGGCGGCUCACUGGCCCGGUACUGACGCUGAGGCACGAAGGCCAGGGGAGCAAACGGG
rnacentral:rRNA from 1 species